UUUUAACCCCAAUAUUCAGAAUUCACUUAAAGUCUUUAUAGCAUAGAACAUUCUCAGAAUGCCAAGAAAAUAUGCUUUAAAUUUGCAAAAAUAUGCUCAAAUGCAAAUGCAAAUACCUAAGAAUACAAUUCCAUUUGAUAAAUAGUUAUCUUAAACAUCAAUCAUAUACAAUGUUGAAUUUAAAUUUCACUUUGACGAUCAAUUAUUAACAGAUUUGACUUAUUGUAUGCCCCCAGUUGCUAUAUUUAUGCUAAAAUGUGUGUUCCGGUUAAUAGCAUAUUCCUGUUAUUAGCAUAAUUUUGGCUGACAUGGUAUGCUAAGAACAGGAUUCCACUGUAGCAACAUAUUAAUCAGGAAUUAUGGUUUGAAUCCGUGAACUAUUAUUUUUAAUGGUGAAAGAAAAUCUCCAUGACGCGUUUUCAAAAAUUCCUAAUCAAGCUUGGUAAAAGAGCACACAGAAUAGCAAAUUUAUUACAGCGCCAACUUACGGGUAAAAAUGAUUGAUUUUUUUUAUAUUCCGUAAAGACAAAUGCCGCAUCAUAUCCUAUGGGUGAUUUAAAAAUUAAUGAAGCCUAAAUAAAACAUGCAUUUAUUUUCUUACCAUUAAGCAUGUUUGAGUUCUUUUUCUAUCUUACAGAAGUGUUUCCAUGUGAUUAACUUAAAUGUGAAAAUUCUUCUCAAUAACUUUCUUCAUUAACAAAAUAUAUUGAAAAAUAUCCUUAAAAUUGCCCCAAGUGUACUGGUUUUGCGUGACAUUUUAUGUAAAAGGCAAUUUUCAAUUCUAUACUUCAAUAAAACUUUCAGAAAUAUUAGGUAUUGCCAUCAUUUAAUGAAUAUAAAAAUUCAUAUGCUUUAAGAAAAAUAAAACAAUGCUUCUUACUUAGGUUGAUAUCUUUUGUAGCAAGUGUUCAAAGCAAUGAUGUUCUUGUCAAUUUUGUGCCACAAUUUUCAACUCUCUUCAUGUAUAUUAAGAGAUGGGAUCAUAAAGUGCUUCAAUAUUUAUAGGCAAAAAGUGUCCUUUUAACCUGUCACAUGUUUUUUCUACACAUUUGUACAGGUAUUUAUACAAUUAUUUGUUCAUGUAAAUUUUGAACAGCUGAAUACUAAAUGUGGUCAGAAUUUGUCCCUGUCACAAGUGUACAUUUUGCAAGAAAGUUAUUUUAAAUUUUUCAUAAGAUAGAAUUUUCAAGGUUUUACAUCAUUUUCUUCAAACCAUUAAUGCUUAUCACUAGAUGUACUGAAAAUUUGAUGCCAAAACCUUGUGAACUUUUUUUGCAAGACAAAUAUUGCAUUGUACCAAGUGUACGAAUUUUUUAUCAUGUUUGAUGGACAGGUGAUAGCUUUUAAAAAAUAAACAAAGGCACUAAUUUUCUGGAAAGAAGUACACAGAAGAUGUAAUCUCCAAGAGAAAAAGGUGUUGUCUUCACUCUGGGGGUUAACUACUCUUAUUAUAUGGGUGGACUUCAAUAUGUAUGAUCUACUUAUGCUGCCACAAUGUAAAGGCAACAAUCACUGGGUUUUGCUGUUUGCAAGUGUUAUGUCCAGGACUGUAACCAUUUACGACUCGUUGGGUGGUAACAACAAGGCAUUGUUCGAUUUGUUCUGCCAGUUCAUGUGUCAACGAGCGCAAAUUGUGAACGAUGGCUUGGAAAAAAUUCAGUUCAGAGUUCAAAGCGCCACCUUGCAACAAACAGCGCCAUGGAAACAGCUGUGGAGUGUUUGCAUUGAUGACUGCCAAAUGUAUGGUCAUGAAAAAGCAUCCCACAAUGUUGCGACAGGCCCAUGAUUCAGCUUAUCAAGACUAGUCGUGAGACGCAGACUUCUGAUUCAUGGAGUGCGGCAAACAUAUCUGUGUGACUCGAUCACUCCACUGUAAAGACCCGCACGGCAUUAAAAUGGAUAUUAUCAAUAUGUGUUGUUGCUCGAAAAUAUGUUUUGUAGCAGGAAGUGCUUUGGGCUCGAUUAAUCUGAGAACUCAACAAAAUAUUAAUAAAAUCCUUCUGUGCCUUUUAGUUCUGAAAACAGAAGUAGCCAGUUGGUAUUACACAUCUCCUAAACAAGUACAGCACAAUAAAACUGAAGGUUUUAAAUCCUACAUUU